rnacentral:rRNA from 1 species
AGUAGCGGCGAGCGAAAAGAAAUCAGUUCAGCACUAAGUCACUUUGUCUUUAUGGCAAAUGUGAGAUGCAGUGUAUGGAAUGUCAAAUUUCUAGUAUGAGAAAUUAACGAUUUAAGUCCUUCUUAAAUGAGGCCAUUUACCCAUAGAGGGUGCCAGGCCCGUAUAACGUUAAUGAUUACUAGAUGGCAUUUCCAAAGAGUCGUGUUGCUUGAUAGUGCAGCACUAAGUGGGUGGUAAACUCCAUCUAAAACUAAAUAUAACCAUGAGACCGAUAGUAAACAAGUACCGUGAGGGAAAGUUGAAAAGAACUCUGAAUAGAGAGUUAAAUAGUACGUGAAACUGCUUAGAGGUUAAGCCCGAUGAACCUGAAUAUCCAUUAUAGAAAAUUCAUCAUUAUGAUUUUAAUAUUAAUAAUAUUAUAAUAAUGGUGUGCAUUUUUUCUAUAACGGACAUUGUAAUCUAUUAACAUAAAUAUAUUUAUCAUAAGAUCAAUGAUGCGUAAGUUUAUUCAAAUUAUUUUGCUUGCAAUUUAACAUAGAAUAAAUGCUCUUGAUUUGAUAAAGUGUUGAUAGAUUUAUUGUAUAUAGUGCUUAAAUAUUUAUAUUUUAUAAUAGCAUAUUAAUCAUUGAUUUUUAUGUUUAUUAUAUGCACUUAUAUGAUUAACAAUGCGAAAGAUUCAGGAUACCUUCGGGACCCGUCUUGAAACACGGACCAAGGAGUCUAACAUAUUUGCAAGUUAUUGGGUAUCAAAACCUAAUAGCGAAAUUAACAUAACUUUAAUGGGAUUAGUUUUUAGAUUAUUUAUAGUCUAUUAAUUCAAUCCCGGGGCGUUCUAUAUAGUUAUGUAUAAUAAUAUUUAUAUUAUUUAUACCUCUAACUAGAGCGUACCUUGAGCAUAUAUGCUGUGACCCGAAAGAUGGUGAACUAUACUUGAUCAGGUUGAAGUCAGGGGAAACCCUGAUGGAAGACCGAAACAGUUCUGACGUGCAAAUCGAUUGUCAGAAUUGAGUAUAGGGGCGAAAGACCAAUCGAACCAUCUAGUA